AACAUGCAAGUCGAACGGUAGAGUAGCAAUACUUGAGAGUGGCGAACGGGUGAGUAAUAUAUCGGAACGUGCCCAGUCGUGGGGGAUAACGUAAAGAAAUUUACGCUAAUACCGCAUACGAUCUAAGGAUGAAAGCGGGGGACUCGCAAGAGCCUCGCGCGAUUGGAGCGGCUGAUAUCAAAUUAGGUUGUUGGUGAGGUAAAAGCUCACCAAGCCGACGAUCUGUAGCUGGUUUGAGAGAACGACCAGCCACACUGGGACUGAGACACGGCCCAAACUCCUACGGGAGGCAGCAGUGGGGAAUUUUGGACAAUGGGCGAAAGCCUGAUCCAGCAAUGCCGCGUGUGGGAAGAAGGCCUUCGGGUUGUAAACCACUUUUGUACGGAACGAAACGGUCUGCCUUAAUACGGUGGGCUAAUGACGGUACCGUAAGAAUAAGCACCGGCUAACUACGUGCCAGCAGCCGCGGUAAUACGUAGGGUGCGAGCGUUAAUCGGAAUUACUGGGCGUAAAGCGUGCGCAGGCGGUUAUAUAAGACAGUUGUGAAAUCCCCGGGCUCAACCUGGGAAUUGCAUCUGUGACUGUAUAGCUAGAGUACGGUAGAGGGGGAUGGAAUUCCGCGUGUAGCAGUGAAAUGCGUAGAUAUGCGGAGGAACACCG
rnacentral:rRNA from 1 species